GAGCCUUUGGUUUGGGUCCCGAGGAGUUCGGGUGUGUUUUAGAUACUUGGUUGGAAAGUUGGGUUUUGAUAGUGGUUGAGUUGACCCUGAUCAACCCUGGACAAAACGAGCUCUUUUGGAAAAUGUGAUUGCGCGAGCGAGUUCGUAGCGUAUUUUAUGAUAGAAAUGCAUAUUUGGUUUGUAUCCGGGGUUUUCCAAAUGAGAUUCGGGUGUUGGUUCGGAAUUUUGGAAAACAAGAUUUUUCGUGUUUUAGUCAUCUGGUUUUUCCUUCUUCGCGAGAGGGCCUCGCUUUGCUAUGAAGUGGGAUCAGAUGGGUCAUCACGUUUGCGUAGGGUAGGCAGUGUCUGGACCGUUUUGGCAUGGUCAUUGCAUUCACGAAGCUAUCUCGCCUUCGAGAAGGGUAAUUACCUGAACAGUGAAUUAAAACCCCAAACUUGAGUUUUAUUUCCCAUUCACCAUUUUAGAAGCUAGAGAGCUCCAAAGAAUCAAAGUUCCAAGAUCAAGUUUCUUCACUGUGGUACUGAUCCGGGUACGAGCUGGGCAUCUUUCUUCGAGUUGAUUUGGGGUGUUUCGUGGAGUUCCAGGGUAUGCUGAUGAGUUUCCCACAACAUCUGACUUCAUUCUAUCGUUACUAUUUCUGUCUUAUUUUCAUUUCAGACAGUUUACGUAUUAGUAUUCAAACUUGUACUCGCCGUACAUACUCAUGUACUGUGACUUUAAUUUCAGGUUUUGGGGUAUUAAUUGUAUUGACUUAAACUAUUACUUCCUUAUUAGAGUUAUUAUGAGACUUA